rnacentral:rRNA from 1 species
GACGAACGCUGGCGGCGUGCUUAACACAUGCAAGUCGAACGGAAAGGCCCCUUUUGGGGUGGUCGAGUGGCGGACGGGCGAGUAACACGUGAGUAACCUGCCCUUGCCUUCGGGAUAACUUCCUGAAACUGGGUCUAAUACCGGCUAGGAAUCCUUUCUGCAUGGUGGGGGUUGGUAAGCUUCGGCGGUUUUGGGGGGACUCGCGGCUUAUCAGCUUGUUGGUUGGGUAGUGGGUUACCAAGGCUUUGAAGGGUGGCCGGCCUGGGAGGGAGACCGGCCACAUUGGGGCCUGGGUUCGGCCCAAGCUCCUACGGGGGGCAGGCGUGGGGAAUAUUGCAACAUGGGCGGGAGCCUGGUGCAGCAAAGCCGCGGGCCGGAAGACCGGCUUCGGGUUGUAAACCGGCUUCAGCAGGGGAGAAGCCUGUGGUGACGGUACCUGCAGAAGAAGCACCGGCUAACUACGUG